UCUUUCUUUCUUUCUUUCUUUCUUUCUUUCUUUCUUUCUUUCUUUCUUUCAUUUAGUGAAGUUUUCUUUUCCAAAAUAAACAGUUGGUGGGAUCUGUCCACGCAUCUCCACCAGCAGCUGGGGCAUCUCCACCCUUGGUGUUCCUGGUGUAAAUUACUUGAGCUCUGUGCUUUGAAACCAGCUUAAUAAGGAGCUCCUGAAGGGCUGUCUCAGCCAGGGAACCUCGAAUCUUCGGUCUCUCAGAGGCAGCAGCUGGAGUUAUAAGCUUAUAGUUCGGAACUUUCUUACAGAGUUUGUUAUAUGUCGCUUUGUCAAACAAGACCAGGUUAUUGAGCUUGUCCCAAACUUUGCCUUUGGACCACCUCUUCUUUUUGGCCCUGCCCCCAGAUUCACUGGGUCUUUGUCUUUUUUGGCUGACUUUCCGGCAUCUUUCUUCUUGUUGUUGUCCUUCAGCGGCAUGGUGGAGCUUGGAGAGCAGUGGCCAUCCCUGCAGCCUCGCUAAG